UGAAGUGUGGACGCCAGUCUGCAUGGAGCCGACCUUGAAAUACCACCCUUUAAUGUUUGAUGUUCUAACGUGGACCCGUGAUCCGGGUUGCGGACAGUGUCUGGUGGGUAGUUUGACUGGGGCGGUCUCCUCCUAAAGAGUAACGGAGGAGCACGAAGGUUGGCUAAUCCUGGUCGGACAUCAGGAGGUUAGUGCAAUGGCAUAAGCCAGCUUGACUGCGAGCGUGACGGCGCGAGCAGGUGCGAAAGCAGGUCAUAGUGAUCCGGUGGUUCUGAAUGGAAGGGCCAUCGCUCAACGGAUAAAAGGUACUCCGGGGAUAACAGGCUGAUACCGCCCAAGAGUUCAUAUCGACGGCGGUGUUUGGCACCUCGAUGUCGGCUCAUCACAUCCUGGGGCUGAAGUAGGUCCCAAGGGUAUGGCUGUUCGCCAUUUAAAGUGGUACGCGAGCUGGGUUUAGAACGUCGUGAGACAGUUCGGUCCCUAUCUGCCGUGGGCGCUGGAGAACUGAGGGGGGCUGCUCCUAGUACGAGAGGACCGGAGUGGACGCAUCACUGGUGUUCGGGUUGUCAUGCCAAUGGCACUGCCCGGUAGCUAAAUGCGGAAGAGAUAAGUGCUGAAAGCAUCUAAGCACGAAACUUGCCCCGAGAUGAGUUCUCCCUGAGACUUUAGGUCUCCUGAAGGAACGUUGAAGACGACGACGUUGAUAGGCCGGGUGUGUAAGCGCAGCGAUGCGUUGAGCUAACCGGUACUAAUGAACCGUGAGGCUUAACCUUACA
rnacentral:rRNA from 2 species